rnacentral:misc_RNA from 1 species
AUGAAGAACGCAGCGAAAUGCGAUAAGUAAUGCGAAUUGCAGAAUUUCCGUGAGUCAUCGAAUCUUUGAACGCACAUUGCGCCCUCUGGUAUUCCGGGGGGCAUGCCUGUUCGAGCGUCAUUAACACUUCUCAAGCUUUUUAGCUUGGUUUUGGGUUUCAUCUUUCUUUUUUAAAGUGGGAUGGACCUAAAAAUUAGUGGCGAUGCCCUUUCUGGCUUCAAACGUAGUAAAAAUAUUUUUCUCGUUUAAAGUUUUCAGUUAGGGGGAGUAAAAUUAGCCAAAAUUUAUUCAAAAAUUUUUAAAAGUUGACCUCGAAUCAGGUAGGAAUACCCGCUGAACUUAAGCAUAUCAAUAAGCGGAGGA